rnacentral:rRNA from 1 species
UACGAAGGGUGCAAGCGUUACUCGGAAUUACUGGGCGUAAAGCGUGCGUAGGUGGUUUGUUAAGUCUGUUGUGAAAGCCCCGGGCUCAACCUGGGAAUGGCAAUGGAUACUGGCAAGCUAGAGUGCGGUAGAGGGUAGUGGAAUUCCCGGUGUAGCGGUGAAAUGCGUUAGAGAUCGGGAGGAACACCAGUGGCGAAGGCGGCUACCUGGACCAGCACUGACACUGAGGCACGAAAGCGUGGGGAGCAAACAGG